rnacentral:tRNA from 1 species
GCUGACAUGGCUACGUCUUUCCCUUGGUAAGGGAGAGGUCGACAGUUCAAUCCUGUCCAGCAGCACCA